AAAUAAUUUUCUUUUUGCACUACAGUAUUUUGUACGUUUGCAAAAAACUUUGACAGCUUUCAAAGCAAUUUGCUCUAUAAAGAGUUUAAUAAAACAAUUAUUGUAUCAAAUACCAAUUGAAAAGAUAUGGACUACUGUAUGGAGCCAAAUGAAGAGCGGCAAGGAAACGACAAGAAAGCCGAACGUCUCGCGAAAAGGAGGGAGCUAGCGAAGACGACAACGUUUGCUCGAGGAGACUGCUGAGGAAAGAGAAGCUCGCCUGGGAAAGCGUAGAGAAGCAUGGAAAAAGAGACUGCUGAAGCGAAAGGUAAGCAAAGGCUUGUCUUCACAACGCUAUGUACCAAUGAUACUGUAGCUAUACAAGUUGAAGUAUGAUAUUCGACCCUCUAUAUUCGACUAUUUCUUCACAAUUUUCCAAUAAAGAGUUUGUCAUGACACGCUCAAGUCAGUAUAACCAG